ACUGGCUUGUGGCUGUUGGGGGCUCCGAACGACGUUGUUUUCCAAUCCUUCGAUGUUCACUCUUUCCAUCAUUCGGACGCAGAAGUCUAACUGUAUCGGAUUGUUCACCUGCUAACAGGGAACAUGAGCUAGGUUCAGACCGUCCUGAGGCAAGUU
rnacentral:ncRNA from 1 species